CCUACGGGCGGCAGCAGUGAGGAAUAAUGGUCAAUGGACGGAAGUCUGAACCAGCCAUGCCGCGUGCAGGAAGACGGCUCUAUGAGUUGUAAACUGCUUUUGUACAAGGGUAAACCUGAAUACGUGUAUUCAGCUGAAAGUACUGUACGAAUACGGAUCGGCUAACUCCGUGCCAGCAGCCGCGGUAAUAAGGAGGAUCCAAGCGUUAUCCGGAUUUAUUGGGUUUAAAGGGUGCGUAGGCGGAUUGAUAAGUUAGAGGUGAAAUGUCCGGGCUUAACUCGGGAACUGCCUCUAAUACUGUUGAACUAGAGAGUAGAUGCGGUAGGCGGAAUGUAUGGUGUAGCGGUGAAAUGCGUAGAGAUCGUACAGAACACCGAUUGCGAAGGCAGCUUACCAAUCUAUAACUGACGUUGAGGCACGAAAGCGUGGGGAGCAAACAGGAUUAGAUACCCCUGUAGUC
rnacentral:rRNA from 1 species